rnacentral:rRNA from 1 species
GGAAUAUUGGGCAAUGGGCGCAAGCCUGACCCGGCUAUGCCGCGUGAGUGAUGAAGGCCUUCGGGUCGUAAAGCUCUGUGGGGCGGGAAGAACAACCAUGUGGCUAACAUCCACGUGGCCUGACGGUACCUCCUUAGCAAGCACCGGCUAACUCCGUGCCAGCAGCCGCGGUAAUACGGAGGGUGCAAACGUUGCUCGGAAUUAUUGGGCGUAAAGCGCACGUAGGCGGCCGACUAAGUCGGGUGUGAAAGCCCAGGGCUCAACCCUGGAAGUGCACUCGAAACUGAUCGGCUUGAAUAUGGAAGAGGGUCGCGGAAUUCCCGGUGUAGAGGUGAAAUUCGUAGAUAUCGGGAGGAACACCAGUGGCGAAGGCGGCGACCUGGGCCAAUAUUGACGCUGAGGUGCGAAAGCGUGGGGAGCAAAC